rnacentral:tRNA from 1 species
GGAGAUUUGACUCAGUGGUAGAGUACUUGUCUUGCAUGCAUGAGGACAUAUGGUUCUUAGUACUGACAAAAAAAUAAUCUUUU